AUACGGAGGAUGCAAGCGUUAUCCGGAUUUAUUGGGUUUAAAGGGUGCGUAGGCGGAUGAUUAAGCGUGAGGUGAAAUGCCACUGCUCAACAGUGGAACUGCCUCGCGAACUGGUUGUCUUGAAUGCUCCUGCCGUGGGAGGAAUGUGUGGUGUAGCGGUGAAAUGCAUAGAGAUCACACAGAACACCGAUUGCGAAGGCAUCUCACGAAGGGGUGAUUGACGCUGAGGCACGAAAGCGUGGGGAUCAAACAGGAUUAGAUACCCUGGUAGUCCACGCAGUAAACGAUGAUGGCUAACCGCUGGGCUUAUCAGUUCAGUGGCCAAGCGAAAGCGAUAAGCCAUCCACCUGGGGAGUACGACCGCAAGGUUGAAACUCAAAUGAAUUGACGGGG
rnacentral:rRNA from 1 species